UUCCCCAUGGAAUGCUCAGGUCCGCCGCAUCUCCUGGGUCCCGUGGGGCGGUCGGCCGGCAUCUGGUCUCAAGCGGUUUCCUCGUACCGUGAUCGGAUCGCCGGCCGGCCACUUU
rnacentral:sRNA from 1 species